UACGUAGGGUGCGAGCGUUAAUCGGAAUUACUGGGCGUAAAGUGUGCGCAGGCGGUCUUUUAAGCCAGAUGUGAAAUCCCCGGGCUUAACCUGGGAACUGCGUUGGAACUGGAAGGCUAGAGUACGGCAGAGGGGGGUGGAAUUCCACGUGUAGCAGUGAAAUGCGUAGAGAUGUGGAGGAACACCGAUGGCGAAGGCAGCCCCCUGGGCCUGUACUGACGCUCAUGCACGCAAGCGUGGGGAGCAACCCGG
rnacentral:rRNA from 1 species